rnacentral:rRNA from 1 species
GACGAACGCUGGCGGCGUGCUUAACACAUGCAAGUCGAACGGAGCACCCCUGAAAGAGUUUUCGGACAAUGGAAGGGAAUGCUUAGUGGCGGACUGGUGAGUAACGCGUGAGGAACCUGCCUUCCAGAGGGGGACAACAGUUGGAAACGACUGCUAAUACCGCAUGAUGUGUUUCGAUGGCAUCAUCGAGACACCAAAGAUUUAUCGCUGGAAGAUGGCCUCGCGUCUGAUUAGCUAGUAGGCGGGGUAACGGCCCACCUAGGCGACGAUCAGUAGCCGGACUGAGAGGUUGACCGGCCACAUUGGGACUGAGAUACGGCCCAG